CUAACUGGGUCACACAAACAUGAAUUAGGGUCUUGAUAUCAUCAAUUGAGCUAGCCCAGUUCGAUUGAUUUGGAUUAGAUCCAAUUAGGUUCAAGGAAAUCGUGCUAGCACACGAUUGAGCCAAACUUUCUCCUCGUGUAAUCUUUUCUAUCUCGACUAAGCCAAAUAUGAUUUGACUCACCUAGAGAACCUUCAAAAAGUUUCUCAUA
rnacentral:lncRNA from 1 species